rnacentral:lncRNA from 1 species
GGAAGGCUCCGCUCCUAUUUUUUUCGUUCUCCAUGAGCCUUUUUUUUUCAUGCACCUGUCAAUAGCCCUCCGAGAUUCAAAGGGAAUAUACUCAAGUGAAAGAAUUAACAUAUAACCCGUACCAUUGUGCUGUAUAACUGCUUUUCCAGAACUAACAUCAAGGGUGUCAUGAGAUUGUGCUUGCGGCAAUAUACCGUUCAUCAAAGCACGGAACGCAGUGGCUCUAGGGGUACAUCGCUACCUGGCAAAGGUAAUUGCUAUGCGACCACUGCCUCAUUGCUAGACUCUCAUCGAUGAAAUGCAUAUUGUCUACUCGUGCGUGUAACACAAAUGCAAUCUAUCGCCGUAAAAACGUACAUUUAUGAACCAGGCCGUGUUACUUUUCGAUUGACUUUAGAGCCCAUGUAUUCUGGUUUCGCCAGUACCACUUUACACUCCGCUCACUGCAGCAGUAAUUUAUACUUGGUUGCUUACUCGCGAUGAGUUGCAUGCGGUAGGUUACGUGUCAGCUCAGAAUAUGUGUUAGCUGUCGCACGAGGUGUAACACGUGUCAUCUCAUUGCUUGUACUGACCUGUAUAUAAAUGUGUGUGCGUGUUCGAUUGUGAUAUCACCCUCUCCCUACUCACGGCCGUCGUCCUUAAGUAGACACCUCAUUGCUAGACUCUCAUCGAUGAAAUGCAU